UAAAAGGUGGCAUUAAUUGCAUUUUUGGAUUCGGGCCAAAAAAAUGGGAAAAACCCCAACCUUUUAU
rnacentral:tRNA from 1 species